CGAACGCGUCUCCGUUAAUGGAUUUUAGGUGCUUGCAUUUGAAAGAUUUACCAUUGAGACGAGUGGCGAACUGGUGAGUAACACGUGGGUAACCUGCCCUUGAAGUAGGGGAUAACACUUGGAAACAGGUGCUAAUACCGUAUAACAACCAAAACCACCUGGUUUUGGUUUAAAAGACGGCUUCGGCUGUCACUUUAGGAUGGACCCGCGGCGUAUUAGCUUGUUGGUAAGGUAACGGCCUACCAAGGCGAUGAUACGUAGCCGACCUGAGAGGGUAAUCGGCCACAUUGGGACUGAGACACGGCCCAAACUCCUACGGGAGGCAGCAGUAGGGAAUCUUCCACAAUGGACGAAAGUCUGAUGGAGCAACGCCGCGUGAGUGAUGAAGGGUUUCGGCUCGUAAAACUCUGUUGUUGGAGAAGAACAGGUGUCAGAGUAACUGUUGACAUCUUGACGGUAUCCAACCAGAAAGCCACGGCUAACUACGUGCCAGCAGCCGCGGUAAUACGUAGGUGGCAAGCGUUGUCCGGAUUUAUUGGGCGUAAAGCGAGCGCAGGCGGUUUUUUAGGUCUGAUGUGAAAGCCUUCGGCUUAACCGGAGAAGUGCAUCGGAAACCGGGAGACUUGAGUGCAGAAGAGGACAGUGGAACUCCAUGUGUAGCGGUGAAAUGCGUAGAUAUAUGGAAG
rnacentral:rRNA from 1 species